CAAAGCACAGUAUUGUAGGUAUGUGUUAUUCAUCGCUCACCAAAGCACAGUAUUGUAGGUAUGUGUUGUUCAUUGCUCAUCAAAGAAUAAUUGUGUAGGUCUGUGUUGUUAAUCGCUCAUCAAAGCUCAAUUUUGUAGGUCUGUUUUGUUUAUCGCUCAUCAAAAACAGUUUGAUAGGUCUGUGUUUUAUCACUCAUCCAAGCACAACUUGUAGGUCUAUGGUGUCCAUCACUAAUCAUAGAAAAGUUUUGUAUAUCUGUGUUGUUUAUCGCUCACAAAAAACCAGUUUUGAAAAUCUGUUUUAUCGUAGCUCAUCAAAGAACAGUUUUAUAGGUAGGACUGUGUUGUUCAUUGCUUAUCAAGGAACAAUUUUGUAGGUCAAUGUUGUUUAUCGCUCACCAAAGCGCAAUUUUGUAGAUCAAUGUUGUUCAUCGCUCAUCAAAGCACAAUUUUGUAGAUCAAUGUUGUUCAUCGCUCAUCAAAGCACAAUUUUGUAGAUCAAUGUUGUUCAUCGCUCAUCAAAGCACAGUUUUGUAGAUCAAUGUUGUUCAUCGCUCACCUAAGCACAAUUUUGUAGAUCAAUGUUGUUAUCACCCAUUAAAGAACUGUUCGUCG
rnacentral:lncRNA from 1 species